AGUGAACGCUGGCGGUAGGCCUAACACAUGCAAGUCGAACGGCAGCACAGUAAGAGCUUGCUCUUACGGGUGGCGAGUGGCGGACGGGUGAGGAAUACAUCGGAAUCUACUUUUUCGUGGGGGAUAACGUAGGGAAACUUACGCUAAUACCGCAUACGACCUACGGGUGAAAGCAGGGGAUCUUCGGACCUUGCGCGAUUGAAUGAGCCGAUGUCGGAUUAGCUAGUUGGCGGGGUAAAGGCCCACCAAGGCGACGAUCCGUAGCUGGUCUGAGAGGAUGAUGAGCCACCCUGGCACUGGGACAGGGUCCCGAGUCCUACGGGAGGGAGCAGUGGGGAAUAUGGGACAAGGGGCGUAAGCCUGAUCCUGCCAUAGCGCGUGGGUGAAGAAGGCGUUCGGGUUGUAAAGCCCUUUUGUCGGGAAAGAAAAGCAGCAGGUUCCUUCCGCGCUGUACUGACGGUACCCAAAGAAUAAGCACCGGCUAACUUCGUG
rnacentral:rRNA from 1 species